rnacentral:rRNA from 1 species
GGAAUAUUGCACAAUGGGGGAAACCCUGAUGCAGCCAUGCCGCGUGUGUGAAGAAGGCCUUCGGGUUGUAAAGCACUUUCGGCGAGGAGGAAAGGUUGGCGCCUAAUACGUGUCAACUGUGACGUUACUCGCAGAAGAAGCACCGGCUAACUCCGUGCCAGCAGCCGCGGUAAUACGGAGGGUGCAAGCGUUAAUCGGAAUUACUGGGCGUAAAGCGCACGCAGGCGGUUGGAUAAGUUAGAUGUGAAAGCCCCGGGCUCAACCUGGGAAUUGCAUUUAAAACUGUCCAGCUAGAGUCUUGUAGAGGGGGGUAGAAUUCCAGGUGUAGCGGUGAAAUGCGUAGAGAUCUGGAGGAAUACCGGUGGCGAAGGCGGCCCCCUGGACAAAGACUGACGCUCAGGUGCGAAAGCGUGGGGAGCAAACAGGAUUAGAUACCCCAG